GCCCGGGUGGUGAAAUUGGUAGACGCGCCGGACUCAAAAUCCGGUCCCGAAAGGGGUGUCGGUUCGAUUCCGACCCCGGGCACCA
rnacentral:tRNA from 1 species